rnacentral:tRNA from 1 species
GGUCGUGUGGCCUAACGGAUAAGGCGUCGGACUUCUAAUAGAAAUUAGUCAUCCGAAAAUUGCGGGUUCGAAUCCCGCCACGAUUA